GACUUGUUCAGGAAACCCAUGCUAUGCGAUUCAGCCAGUGCACUUUGAUCAGAUAAACUGCUGUGUAUGUGUGUGGUGAGCGUUUGAACGCUUCGUUUCUGCUCUGUUCCCUCUGGAAUUACUUAAAUGAGCUCUGUUCAAGUUAAACAUCGUCCCAGAAGGCUGUGCAACCUUUGGGAGGCCACGUAUAAAGUCUAGAUGAAGGAAAUCUGCCCUGAAAUAACCGCCGUUCACGUGUCUGGACAUUCCUGAACGGUGACGCCUGUGAUUACUGAACCUUCAAUCAUGAGAGCAGUACCGAAUCUGGAGAACAACAGACUUUGUGAGGUUUGGAAGAUUCAGGGUGAAAUCAAUCUUCUUUAAAGAGUUUUUUUCAUGUUGUGUCCCAGUUUUUGACUGUCAUUCUGCUCAUGUGCAUUUCAGGAAGGAAGGCAGACUUUGAGACCAGGCGUGGGAUGUUUGGAAUGUGAAAAAUGAUGUUGUGAAACCUUGUGGCACAAGGGCUUUGGGAAUGUUUUUGCACUUUGAAAACACUUUGACGUUCAGCAUAUUUGUGUCUGUGCAUGCGGCUUUUUUGGCAAGCCCUUUGCUGACACAAUGAAGCAUGCUCUGUUUAAACGUGAUCGGAUAUCCCCCUGGUCUGCAGCCCCACGUCUAUAUUUGGCAUGAUUAGUCAUGUCAGAAUGAAGGGAAGCUUUAGGACUUCCCUUUGUUUCUGCUGUGACGUCACAAUACAUUCAAAUGUACAAUGUGGGAAAGUCUUUUAUGCAUUGAGUGCAUUAAAGCAUGUCGUUUUAUAUUACAGGUGACGUCAAAUCAGACGGUUUUAAUUCCUCAUUGUGACCUUGUAUUUGACAAGCAUUUAAAACAUGCAGGAACAGGUUUUCAGACAGCGUCAUGUUUUUAAUUCUCACACACACCCAAAUUUUUCCCACGCUUUACAUUGCUGCUGUGAAAAAACGGUCUGAGAAGUUGGUGGAACUUGGGUUUGGACUUUCUUCAGAGAUGGGAGGAAGACUGAAUGCUUUUGGAUGCCACACCUAGUCACUAUUUGUGUUCUGUCUAUUUCUAAUCACUUUGAAGUUUGCAGUUAAAAGAAAAUGAUCAGCUUAUUAUCAUGUCAUGUCAACCACCCACCUGUAGUUGACUUAACCAAUGCUGUGUGCUUUUCCUUUGAUUUCUGAAAGUCUACAAGUUUUAAGCCACUUCAUUAUUUUUCUAUAUUCUGGCACGCAUCACAAUGAUCUCAUUGUGCCCAAUGCAUCAUGGAGUUAUUAAACAGAUUGUUUUACCCAGGAAACUGAAGUCACCGUUGUCAAGGCGUUAACUGAGACUCUAUUCAUUCACAACCUACAGACAGAUUUUGAAUCGUUGCGGCAAACUGUGUUGGGUGAAGUGGGCGUCACCAAGAGCGCUCAAGAGAAAGUCUGUGUGUGGACCUGUGACUCUACAUGAAUGACUCAAGUGAAGAAACACGCGUGAAACCACUAUUUCAAAGGAAAAAAGAAGAGGAACAGGGGACAUCUUGAACAUUCGCAGUGGAACUUGAGUGCGCAUCUGCGCAAAGUCUCUCCAAAGUCACUUGGUAACUUUUGCGCACCACUGCAGCUCCAUUCUCAGGACGUUUUGAGGGUCACUGCGAGGAGAGACAGAACAGCGACUGUCGUCCAGCAGAAUGGCGUCAGACGUGGGCCGCAGCACUUGAGGUCAGCCGUUCACUCAGCGCACAGUGUUUAUUCUGCCUUCAGGUCCUCCUGGGAAGUUCCUACUUAGGAGUUCGGAAGUCAUAAUUAUGAUGUGAAGUGAUUUUGCUUGAAAUAAUACGGAUGAGUUGAGCAUAUUUAUGUGUGUCUUUAACCCAGCUAACAGGGAGUGUUCACAGAACUUGGUUGGAAUGUUAAUACAAUGUUCAUUCAGAGUUAUCUGGUCUUUAAUAAUAUUCUCAGAACUUUAGCAUAAAAACGUUUUUAUAAAUUGUUCAUGGAAUGUUCCAUUUCUGAUGUUUUUUUUUUUUAAAUGUUAUUGUUUCGGAAUGUUCAGAGAACAUUUAAAAUGAACAUUCCUAUAAUGUUUUCAAAAUUAUUAAAUGGAAUGUUAACAUUUUUCAAACAUUUUGACCUUUUGAAUGUUAAAACAGCAUUUAGAAAUAAUGUUUUCAUAAAUAAUUGGGAAUUAAUAGGUUCUUAGAACAGAUUUUUGUUAGCUGGGAACUUAAAAGGCACUUUUGUCCUAGUGCAACAACGUGUAGAGCAAAUGAUGCAUAUUAGGUGUGAUUUAAGCUUUAUGUAUUUUAUUAUUCUUGUGCAACCACAUAUAAUGAUUGAAAAUGUAUUUUUUUUCUUAAGCGUAAAAUGUUUACAGAUGAGUUUUACAUUAAGUCAGCAUUCACAGCCUCGGUUCCAAAAGUAUUUUUCUCAUUUGUUUUUCAUAAAGGGAUUUAUUGUAUAAAAAAAGAAAAUCUUGACAGCAUUUUAAAGUUUUAAACUAUGAAGACCAACCAGCUCAAAGAUGAAUCACAAACUUUACCAAAAAAAAUAAAAGUUUCUGUUUGCAUACUGCAUGUGCGUGUACUUUGUAUUUUUAUUAUGUAUAUAUAAAUACACACACAUACAUGUAUAUAUUAAGGAAAUAUAUUGUUGAUUUAUAUGUAAAUUAUAUACAGGUAUAAAUAUAUAUAUACAUAUAAAUAUUUUUAAAAAUAUAUACAUGUAUGUUUGUGUAUUUAUAUAUGCAUGAUAAAUAUCCAGAGUAAACACACAUAUAGUAUGUAAACCAAAAAUUACAUUUUUGAUGCAAUUAAUCGCUUGACAGCCCUAGUUUUUUUUUAUUUAUUAUUUUAAUUUAUAUUUAUUUGUAUUUGUUUUGAUAGCUUUAGUCUCUUAUCUCUUUCUGUAAUGCCUUGAAAUCAUUGAUUUAUAGUUUCUACGGAAGUACGUCUUUAGAGCUCAUGUGUAUUUGUCUCAAAAAGUUUAUACAAUAAUGCUGUAACUCUGUUGAGAAGAUGAAUGAGCCUGUACUUCUGGAACCCAACUGUUGUGCUCUAGCAAUUAGCUUCUGAUGCCAUUUUUUUCACUGAUGCGAACCCAAAAGUCUGGGCUCUUAUAAAAUCCCAUGUUUCUCAUUACUAAUUCCGACAUCAUGGUGAAUAUGAUUCUGACAUGACUUGAAGACAGCACGGUUUAUUUAUUUUCGAGCUAAACUACUGUGGACUUGUAAAGACAAACAAGCGUGCAGCACUGCCAAACUAACUGAAGUGCUGUCAAUGAGCCGAUGCAGAGCCAUGUAACACGAACACUUAUCACUCGCAAUAAAUGUUUCCCUGAAAAACA